rnacentral:rRNA from 1 species
UACGUAGGGUGCAAGCGUUGUCCGGAAUUAUUGGGCGUAAAGAGCUCGUAGGUGGCCUGUCGCGUCGGCUGUGAAAUCUCAGGGCUCAACUCUGACAUUGCAUUCGAUACGGGCAGGCUAGAGUUCGGUAGGGGAGACUGGAAUUCCUGGUGUAGCGGUGAAAUGCGCAGAUAUCAGGAGGAACACCGGUGGCGAAGGCGGGUCUCUGGGCCGAUACUGACGCUGAGGAGCGAAAGCGUGGGGAGCAAACAGG